rnacentral:sRNA from 1 species
UUUGGCCCAGAGAUUGGCACAGAACGUGCUUGCUACCGGGACAUGUCAUCCUUCCCGGAAACCAAGGCUGAGAAAUACGUGAACAAGGCCAAAGGCAAGAAGUUCCUUCAGUACAAUCGACUGCAGCUCUCCCGCAUCUACCCCAAGGGCCAGCGACUGGAUUCCUCCAACUACGAUCCUUUGCCCAUGUGGAUCUGUGGCAGUCAGCUUGUGGCCCUCAACUUCCAGACCCCUGACAAGCCUAUGCAGAUGAACCAGGCCCUCUUCAUGACGGGCAGGCACUGUGGCUACGUGCUGCAGCCAAGCACCAUGCGGGAUGAGGCCUUCGACCCCUUUGACAAGAGCAGCCUCCGCGGGCUGGAGCCAUGUGCCAUCUCUAUUGAGGUGCUGGGGGCCCGACAUCUGCCAAAGAAUGGCCGAGGCAUUGUGUGUCCUUUUGUGGAGAUUGAGGUGGCUGGAGCUGAGUAUGACAGCACCAAGCAGAAGACAGAGUUUGUGGUGGACAAUGGACUCAACCCUGUAUGGCCAGCCAAGCCCUUCCACUUCCAGAUCAGUAACCCUGAAUUUGCCUUUCUGCGCUUCGUGGUGUAUGAGGAAGACAUGUUUAGUGACCAGAAUUUCCUGGCUCAGGCUACUUUCCCAGUAAAAGGCCUGAAGACAGGAUACAGAGCAGUGCCUUUGAAGAAUAACUACAGUGAGGACCUGGAGUUGGCCUCCCUGCUGAUCAAGAUUGACAUUUUCCCUGCCAAGGAGAAUGGUGACCUCAGUCCCUUCAGUGGUACGUCCCUGCGGGAGCGGGGCUCAGAUGCCACAGGCCAGCUGUUUCACGGCCGAGCCCGGGAAGGCUCCUUUGAAUCCCGCUACCAGCAGCCGUUUGAGGACUUCCGCAUCUCCCAGGAGCAUCUCGCAGACCAUUUUGACAGUCGAGAACGAAGG